rnacentral:rRNA from 1 species
GGACGAACGCUGGCGGCGUGCUUUACACAUGCAAGUCGAACGGGAUCCAUCUUGAUUCUUUUUGUUUCUUGGUGGUGAGAGUGGCGAACGGGUGAGUAACACGUGAGUAACCUGCCCUUUUCUUUUGGAUAACCGCAUGAAAGUGUGGCUAAUACGGGAUAUUCUGCUUCCUUCGCAUGGGGGUGGUGGGAAAGGCUUCAAUGUUUUUGUUGUUGUGGAUUGGGAUGGGCUCGCGGCUUAUCAGCUUGUUGGUGGGGUGAUGGCUUACCAAGGCUUUGACGGGUAGCCGGCCUGAGAGGGUGGGCGGUCACAUUGGGACUGAGAUACGGCCCAGACUCCUACGGGAGGCAGCAGUGGGGGAUUUUGCACAAUGGACGCAAGUCUGAUGCAGUGACGCCGCGUGAGGGAUGACGGCCUUCGGGUUGUAAACCUUUUUCGCUGGGUUGAAAGGCCGCUUUUGUGGUGGUUGAUUGAUACUGGUAAAGAAGUACCGGCUAACUACGU